rnacentral:rRNA from 1 species
UACGUAGGGACCAAGCGUUGUUCGGAUUUACUGGGCGUAAAGGGCGCGUAGGCGGCGCGGUAAGUCACUUGUGAAAUCUCUGAGCUUAACUCAGAACGGCCAAGUGAUACUGCAGUGCUAGAGUGUGGAAGGGGCAAUCGGAAUUCUUGGUGUAGCGGUGAAAUGCGUAGAUAUCAAGAGGAACACCUGAGGUGAAGACGGGUUGCUGGGCCAACACUGACGCUCAUGCACGAAAGCGUGGGGAGCAAACAGG